UACGUAGGGGGCAAGCGUUGUCCGCAUUUAUUGGGCGUAAAGAGCGUGUAGGCGGCCAUACAGGUCCGUUGUGAAAACUGGAGGCUUAACCUCCAGACGUCGAUGGAAACCGUAUGGCUAGAGUCCGGAAGAGGAGAGUGGAAUUCCUGGUGUAGCGGUGAAAUGCGCAGAUAUCAGGAAGAACACCCGUGGCGAAGGCGGCUCUCUGGGACGGUACUGACGCUGAGACGCGAAAGCGUGGGGAGCGAACAGG
rnacentral:rRNA from 1 species